UACAGAGGUCUCAAGCGUUGUUCGGAUUCAUUGGGCGUAAAGGGUGCGUAGGCGGCGCGGUAAGUCGGGUGUGAAAUCUCGGAGCUUAACUCCGAAACUGCAUUCGAUACUGCCGUGCUUGAGGACUGGAGAGGAGACUGGAAUUCAUGGUGUAGCAGUGAAAUGACGUAGAGAUCAUGAGGAAGACCAGUGGCGAAGGCGGGUCUCUGGACAGUUCCUGACACUGAGGCACGAAGGCCAGGGGAGCAAACGGGG
rnacentral:rRNA from 1 species